AGAGAUUACACGAGACUGGAGAGUUUAACGGCUGUCUGCGUGAUCAUCGAGAAAGUGCAUUGAGAGCCCUUCAAAUUAAAAAUAGUGAUGGUGAUCUUGUCAAUGCUGAGAUUUUAAUGCAUCAACAGCCAUUACAUCUGUCUGGAUCAGGAUUUAAGAAGAAUCAGACAGCAAGGGUUGUCAGAUCAGAAACGUAAUAACACAAACAUAAGAAACUUCACAGGGCUGUGACAGUGACAGUAUUUUACCACUGCGAUGGUAAUGCACCAAUUCACCACUGUGGUGCGGUGGUUAUAGAAUGUGUUUGUGUGAGGGGGGAGGCGGCAAUUUCUUUUUCCGCCGGUGGGUGCUCAUCACAACCUCAAGCUUUACUUCGCAAUGCCAGGUGCUCUAGAGUCUGGAGCGCUCAAAGGCUUUGAAGAGGUGGAAAGUGGCGCAGUCACGUUUUCGUGUGAAUUGUGAAGUUAAAGGCAGAUCACCGUGCAACUUGGUGAAGUCAUGUGUCUUUCCAGAUGGCCAAAUCUGUACCCCUCAAAAAAACUUUAUUAAAUGCCAUGAUAGACAAGAUGAGCCUUAAGAGGAGAUUUGGGAAGAUGCUGUUUCAUAAGUCUUUGCUUUGCCAGAUUAUUUGUGGUUGGGGUGUCUGCCAACGUGAUGCCUUGCUGGUCUGGUUUGAGUUUGAAGUCUCUUACAGACAGUCCAGAAGGUCUGGAGUCCAUCUUAGCUUUCAUUGGUAAGUGACUGCACAAGAGGCUGUUUGACCCACACGUAAGGUAAACAGUCAAUGUUUGCUUUGUUUAGCAUCUCAAUUUGGGGGGGGAUAUAGAGUCAAUAUCACCCAAGUAUUCAGACCCUUUACUCUGUAUUUAGUUAACGCACCUUUUGAAGCAGCAGUUACAGCCUCAGGUCUUUUUGGGAAGGAUGCAGCAAACC